rnacentral:rRNA from 1 species
GGGUUGUAAACUUCUUUUAUAAAGGAAUAAAGUCGGGUAUGCAUACCCGUUUGCAUGUACUUUAUGAAUAAGGAUCGGCUAACUCCGUGCCAGCAGCCGCGGUAAUGCGGAGGAUCCGAGCGUUAUCCGGAUUUAUUGGGUUUAAAGGGAGCGUAGAUGGAUGUUUAAGUCAGUUGUGAAAGUUUGCGGCUCAACCGUAAAAUUGCAGUUGAUACUGGAUGUCUUGAGUGCAGUUGAGGCAGGCGGAGUUCGUGGUGUAGCGGUGAAAUGCUUAGAUAUCACGAAGAACUCCGAUUGCGAAGGCAGCCUGCUAAGCUGCAACUGACAUUGAGGCUCGAAAGUGUGGGUAUCAAACAGGAUUAGAUACCCUGGUAGUCCACACGGUAAA